rnacentral:lncRNA from 1 species
UAUUUGCUGUGUCAAUAGCCCACACCUUCUCUACUAACUUGACUUUCAGCUCUCAGAGAAGAUGAAACCCAAAUAUAAUAGAUACCACCCCUACUCGUAGGCAAGCUUGCCAAAGAACAGCUCAACCCGUGUUGGUACUCUGCAUCAUCCUGAAGACAAAACCAUCUCCCCAUGGAAGGGUGUUGUGCACAGACGUGCAUGCAGCCAACUGAUGCAGUCCCUCUGGAUUCCCAAGAGAGAAGUUCUGCCCAGGCUUCCUCCUGGGUCAGAUGUCCUCUCCUGAGCCCAUCAAGCACAGUGGAGGACUGGCUCAUUUUGAAAGGAAAACUGCUCUCGUUCCAAGGCUGGGGAUGA